CAGCAGCCACGGGAAUACGUAGGGUGCAAGCGUUAAUCGGAAUUACUGGGCGUAAAGCGUGCGCAGGCGGUUAUAUAAGACAGAUGUGAAAUCCCCGGGCUCAACCUGGGAACUGCAUUUGUGACUGUAUAGCUAGAGUACGGCAGAGGGGGAUGGAAUUCCGCGUGUAGCAGUGAAAUGCGUAGAUAUGCGGAGGAACACCGAUGGCGAAGGCAAUCCCCUGGGCCUGUACUGACGCUCAUGCACGAAAGCGUGGGGAGCAAACAGGAUUAGAUACCCCAGUAGUCCCUGUCUCUUAUAU
rnacentral:rRNA from 1 species